rnacentral:rRNA from 1 species
GACGGAGGAUGCAAGUGUUAUCCGGAAUCACUGGGCGUAAAGCGUCUGUAGGUGGUCAAAUAAGUCAACUGUUAAAUCUUGAGGCUUAACCUCAAAAUCGCAGUCGAAACUAUUAGACUAGAGUAUAGUAGGGGUAAAGGGAAUUUCCAGUGGAGCGGUGAAAUGCGUAGAGAUUGGAAAGACCACCAAUGGCGAAGGCACUCUACUGGGCCAUUACUGACACUGAGAGACGAAAGCUAGGGGAGCAAAUGGG